AAAUCUAGAGAAAAGCAAAGGCGGCUGAAAAGUUUCAUAAAAUUUAUUAUUCCAUUGGUUUUUGAUUUCACUCUUGAGGUUUUCUGUUUUUCUGAAGUUAUCUGUGAUUCACAUGGGUUAAAGAUGGUUUAAUUUGGUUUUUCAGAACUAAUCUUGUGCUGAACUUGAUUUUGGAGUAUUGUUUCAAUUCAAGCUUGGAGUUUAUAAAUUUGGAUUCGAGUCUAUUUAGAAGUUUGGUUCGAAGCUGCUUGGUUCUGGUUUACAAUUCUAUCGGAUCUGGGGUUGAUUUCUUCUACUUUCUACAGUUGCUCGACCUCUGCUCACCUUGAAUUGUUUUUUCUCAUUUUCCAGGUAUUUCAUGAACUGUGGAUGGAAAAUGGUUGUACCCAUGCAUUCUGUAGUAGAAAUUGAAUUGGAUGCAAAAAUUGUUUUGAGUUUUUGAUUUUUUGUUUUCUUCCUGCUCUCAGUCAUAUAUUUGUAGUAGUUUAGAGUUCUGCAUGCUAUUUUCAGCCUUCAUAUGCCUUCAGUAUGAUGUAAUGAUAGAUUUAUGCUCUUGAAUUUAGGACUGUUUAAUUUCAAUAUGAGUACAAGUUUUAGGAGUCGAACACAAAUGUUAUACUGAAGUAAUU
rnacentral:lncRNA from 1 species